CGGGUGAGUAACGCGUGGGCAACCUGCCUUAUACAGGGGGAUAACAGCUGGAAACGGCUGCUAAUACCGCAUAAGCGCACAGCGGCGCAUGACGCAGUGUGAAAAACUGAGGUGGUAUAAGAUGGGCCCGCGUCUGAUUAGCUGGUUGGGAGGGUAACGGCCUACCAAGGCGACGAUCAGUAGCCGGCCUGAGAGGGCGGACGGCCACAUUGGGACUGAGACACGGCCCAGACUCCUACGGAAGGCAGCAG
rnacentral:rRNA from 1 species